GGAGAUGUUCCAGCCAAUGUCAACAGGGCAACCAGGACAUACUGCAUGUAAUGCAUCGCGGCUCCUGAUUGGAGGUGAUGACAUCUGGAUUGUCACAGAGGCUGGAAGUGAGGCUGCGUAGACGCUGCCAUCCCAGCAGCAGUGGACGUUCGUACAGCAUUUCACUGGCCUGGGAACAGGUCACACCUCAAAGCUGAUUACUGAAUGGGAAUCGCUAUCGCAUCAUGAAAAAGCAGAAGUGAAACCAUCACCUCGUAUGCCAGGAUGUGGAGAAUCACCACACAUCAAAGAUAGAGCCGCCAUCUGGCUGGACAGGAGGAAGGGCUGCGCGUGUUUGUGUGAGGACGCCACGGGCAGCGCUGGGCUGCUCGCGCCCACAUAGGCCGCCCAUUAGAGACCACUCUCCCCGACCCAUAUGGCGGCAUCAACAAACAUGCACCGUCAGCACGGAAACCGGGCCCACACCAAGGUUGCGGCAAACCUAGUUAUUUUCAGUUAAGAACUUCAUGACGAACACUUGCUACUAGGAUGUCAGAGCACAUCUACUGCAGUGGACUGGAUCUAUACACCAAAGCAAAGUGCCAUUAAGAAUUCUUGUACCGAUAGUUUGUUGGCCUCCUUUAAUUUUAAUUUACUUCCUAAAGAUAACAUGCUACAGAAUGGUAAAUGUAGGAGACAUGUUCAAGCGUACCAUGCUGCGGCUAUCUAAAAGUUCGCCUUAACUGUUCUAGGUGUCAGACAGCAUGACAAAAUUAUCUCUUGUGAUUCCGCCUCCUUCCUUCAGGAGACAUGAAACUGGGAGAACUGUAUCUGAUAGGAGGCCAAGGAUUUAACAACGAGCUUUUCUGUUGUCAUAACUACCUCAUGAAACUGCUUCCUGUACCUCAACAUAUAUGUGUGUGUGUGUGUAUAUACAGUACUGUGCAAAAGUCUUAGGCAGUAAAUAAGGAAAUAUUUAAAGCUCUUUAUCUAAGCAGUAAGUGUAUAUGUGCUUAGAACAAAAAAUACAAUUUAACAUUAAAUCAUACGAAAAUGAGGAGCGACACAACAAAAAAUAACAAGAAUUUCCUCCAUUCUCCAAAAAGUUCCUGAUAUCUUUUUGGACGGUUAGAUGGACGCUGCUUCAGUUCCCAAGCCUCUCCUCAGGGGCACCCCAGCCCUUCCAUGCAUGCCUUACAUUUCACAUCCCGCUCAAUUAAUUACUCAAUUUAAUUAGUUUAAGAAAGUCAGUGAAGUAUUGAUUAACUAUAUUAGAUGGGGUACUGGGCGAAUCAAAAAGCACGUGUGUGCAUUGGAGGGUGUUGUGGAUGGUGGGGGGACUUCAGGUGAGGUUCUGAAGUGGCUAAGCUGACGCACUUCGGCAGGCAUGACAUCAUAGUUUUACACCAACAUGGAGAUCGUUUGAGCAUCGUUUUCCUAGGAUGCCUGAGACGUUUGCACAAUACCAUAUAUGCAUAUAUAGCCAAAGUAUUGUACAGGGAUU